UAAGGGCGUACGGCGGAUGCCUUGGCGAUAUCAGCCGAAGAAGGACGCGGUAAGCUGCGAUAAGCUACGGAGAGGUGCAAGCAACCUUUGACCCGUAGAUUUCCGAAUGGGGGAACCCGGCAGUGGUUAUGCACUGUCACCCAUACCUUUGAGUAUGAGGAGGGCACCUGGGGAACUGAAACAUCUAAUUACCCAGAGGAAGAGUAAUCAAACGAGAUUUUCUUAGUAGCGGCGAGCGAACGGGAAAGAGGCCAAACCGGAGCGGGCAACCGCACCGGGGUUGAGGACAGUCAUCAAGUGUAAAUGAGGUAGAAGAAUCGAGUUGGAAAGCUCAGCCGCAGAAGGUGAAAGCCCUGUAAUCGAAACCUUGCAUACAUGGGACUGUAUCCAGAGUACCACGAGACACGUGAAACCUUGUGGGAAGCAGGGGGGACCACCCUCCAAGCCAAAAUACUGAUAUCGACCGAUAGCGCAUAGUACCGUGAGGGAAAGGUGAAAAGAACCCCUGGCGGGGAGUGAAAGAGAACCUGAAACCGUAUGUCUACAAACAGUCGAAGUCUGUAUAUAUAUCAGGACGACGGCGUGCCUAUUGAAGAAUGAACCGACGAGUUACUGUUGCUAGCGAGGUUAAGUGGAAAACAUGGAGCCGCAGCGAAAGCGAGUCUGAACAGGGCGUUCAGUUAGUGAUAGUAGACCCGAAACCGUAGUGAUCUAUCCAUGGCCAGGUUGAAGCACAGGUAAAAUUGUGUGGAGGACCGAACUCGUGAGCGUUGAAAAGCUUUGGGAUGAGUUGUGGAUAGGGGUGAAAUGCCAAUCGAACACGGAGAUAGCUGGUUCUCCCCGAAAUAGCUUUAGGGCUAGCCUCGAGGUUGAGAGUAUAGGCGGUAGAGCACUGAUCGGGCUAGGGGCCAUACCGGUUACCGAACCUAGUCAAACUACGAAUGGCUAUACUUAUACUCGGGAGUCAGACAGUGAAUGAUAAGGUCCAUUGUCAAGAGGGAAACAGCCCAGAACACCGACUAAGGUCCCCAAUGUCAUACUAAGUGGCGAAGGAUGUGGAAUUUCCAAAACAACCAGGAUGUUGGCUUAGAAGCAGCCACCAUUUAAAGAGUGCGUAAUAGCUCACUGGUCGAGAGACUCUGCGCCGAAAAUGUCCGGGGCUAAAGUAUGAAACCGAAGUCGUGUCAUAUGCAGCAAUGUAUAUGGGUAGGGGAGCGUUCUCAUCGGAUUGAAGCAGUACCGUAAGGAGUUGUGGACUGGUGAGAAGUGAGAAUGUCGGUAUGAGUAGCGAAAAGAAUGGUGAGAAUCCAUUCCACCGAAAGCCUAAGGGUUCCUGAGCAACGAUCGUCGUCUCAGGGUAAGUCGGGACCUAAGCCGAGGCGGAAAAGCGUAGGCGAUGGACAACAGGUUGAAAUUCCUGUACCGGUGUGAAUCGUUUGAUCGAAGGAGUGACACAGUAAGGUAGGUCAGCACGCGAUUGGAAGUGCGUGUUUAAGCAUGUAGGUUGAGUUAUAGGCAAAUCCGUAGCUCUAAAAGCUGAGAUGUGAUGACGAGCUGUUUACAGCGAAGUGAUUGAUCCUACACUGUCGAGAAAAGCUUCUAGGUAGAGACACAUCGCCCGUACCAAAACCGACACAGGUAGGCGGGGAGAGAAUCCUAAGGUGCGCGGGAAAACCCUCGUUAAGGAACUCGGCAAAAUGCCUCCGUAACUUCGGGAAAAGGAGGACUCAUGUAGUGUGAAGGGCAGUAACGCGUGGAGCAUGAAUGAGUGGCACAAGAGAGGCGCAAGCGACUGUUUACCACAAACACAGGUGCCUGCUAAAGCGAAAGCUGAUGUAUAGGUGCUGACACCUGCCCGGUGCUGGAAGGUUAAGAGGAGGGGUUAGACUUUGGUCGAAGCUCUGAAUUGAAGCCCCAGUAAACGGCGGCCGUAACUAUAACGGUCCUAAGGUAGCGAAAUUCCUUGUCGGGUAAGUUCCGACCCGCACGAAAGGACCCGCGACUGGACAGAAAGACCCCAUGGAGCUUUACUGCAACCUAAGAUUGAACUUAGUUAAUGAAUGUACAGGAUAGGUGGGAGACUUAGAAUCUAGGGCGCCAGUCUUAGAGGAGUCGUUGUUGGGAUACCACCCUUUGAUUAAUUGAUUUCUAACAGGCCGAUUAACAACCGGCUGGACAGUCUUAGGCGGGCAGUUUGACUGGGGCGGUCGCCUCCUAAAGAGUAACGGAGGCGCCCAAAGGUUCCCUCAGAGCGGACGGAAAUCGCUCGAAGAGUGUAAAGGCAGAAGGGAGCUUGACUGCGAGACGGACAGGUCGAGCAGGGACGAAAGUCGGGCUUAGUGAUCCGGUGGUGCCGAGUGGAAGGGCCAUCGCUCAACGGAUAAAAGCUACCCUGGGGAUAACAGGCUAAUCUCUCCCAAGAGUCCAUAUCGACGGGGAGGUUUGGCACCUCGAUGUCGGCUCAUCACAUCCUGGGGCUGAAGUAGGUCCCAAGGGUUCGGCUGUUCGCCGAUUAAAGUGGUACGUGAGCUGGGUUCAGAACGUCGUGAGACAGUUCGGUCCCUAUCCAUCGCGGGCGCAAGAAACUUGAAGGGGGCUGCUCCUAGUACGAGAGGACCGGAGUGGACGAACCGCUGGUGUACCAAUUAUCCUGCCAAGGGUACAGUUGGGUAGCUACGUUCGGGACGGAUAAACGCUGAAAGCAUCUAAGCGUGAAACCAGCCUUGAGAUGAGGUUUCUCAUAGCAUAAGCUAGUAAGAUCCCAUGUAGACGACAUGGUUGAUAGGCCAGGUGUGUAAUACAAUAAGCGGAAAUGUGCAACAAAUAUAUAUAACUUCUAUGUGGU
rnacentral:rRNA from 1 species